rnacentral:rRNA from 1 species
CCUACGGGGGACAGCAGUGGGGAAUAUUGCGCAAUGGGCGAAAGCCUGACGCAGCGACGCCGCGUGAGGGAUGAAGGUCUUCGGAUCGUAAACCUCUGUCAGCAGGGAAGAACGGUCACUGUGCUAAUCAGCAGUGCAUUGACGGUACCUGCAAAGGCAGCACCGGCUAACUCCGUGCCAACAGCCGCGGUAAUACGGAGGGUGCGAGCGUUAAUCGGAAUUACUGGGCGUAAAGCGCUCGUAGGCGGUAUGUCAAGUCAGGGGGAAAUCCCCGCGCUCAACGUGGGAACUGCCUUUGAAACUGGCAAACUGGAGUGUGUGAGAGGAUAGUGGAAUUCCAGGUGUAGGAGUGAAAUCCGUAGAUAUCUGGAGGAACAUCAGUGGCGAAGGCGACUAUCUGGCACAUAACUGACGCUGAGGAGCGAAAGCGUGGGUAGCAAACAGGAUUAGAUACCCGAGUGUC